ACGGGUGCGUAACGCGUAUGCAACCUACCUUUAACAGGGGGAUAACACUGAGAAAUUGGUACUAAUACCCCAUAAUAUCAUAGAAGGCAUCUUUUAUGGUUGAAAAUUCCGAUGGUUAGAGAUGGGCAUGCGUUGUAUUAGCUAGUUGGUGGGGUAACGGCUCACCAAGGCGACGAUACAUAGGGGGACUGAGAGGUUAACCCCCCACACUGGUACUGAGACACGGACCAGACUCCUACGGGAGGCAGCAGUGAGGAAUAUUGGUCAAUGGACGCAAGUCUGAACCAACCAUGCCGCGUGCAGGAUGACGGCUCUAUGAGU
rnacentral:rRNA from 1 species